rnacentral:rRNA from 1 species
GAACCGCGUGAAGGAUCAUUACUGAGAGGGGUUUUCGGACUCCGGGGGUUUCGGCCCCCAACUCUUCACCCGAUGUCUACGUUACCUUUGUUGCUUUGGCGGGCCUUGGGGUUACCCCCAUACCGGCUACGGGCUUUGUCGUCGCCCGGGCCGGUCCGUGCCCGUCAGAGGCCCAUUAUACUCUGUUUUAUCAGUGACGUCCGAGCAAAAACACAAAUAGUAAAAAACUUUCAACAACGGAUCUCUUGGUUCUGGCAUCGAUGAAGAACGCAGCGAAAUGCGAUAAGUAAUGUGAAUUGCAGAAUUCAGUGAAUCAUCGAAUCUUUGAACGCACAUUGCGCCCCUCGGUAUUCCGGGGGGCAUGCCUGUUCGAGCGUCAUUGCACCCCUCAAGCUCAGCUUGGUAUUGGGUCUUCGCCCCCCGCGGCGGGCCCGAAAUGCAGUGACGGUCCGGUGUGACUUCGAGCGUAGUAAAUCCUCUCCCGCUUUGGAAGCUCACACUGCGGCCGGCCAGAACGCCCCAAUUUUCCAAACGAUUGACCUCGGAUCAGGUAGGGAUACCCGCUGAACUUAA